rnacentral:rRNA from 1 species
AGGAUGAACGCUGGCGGCGUGCUUAACACAUGCAAGUCGAACGGUGAAGUGAGGAGCUUGCUCCUUGCGGAUCAGUGGCGAACGGGUGAGUAACACGUGAGUAACCUGCCCUUGACUCUGGGAUAAGCGUUGGAAACGACGUCUAAUACCGGAUACGACCUCCGAAGGCAUCUUGUGGAGGUGGAAAGAAUUUCGGUCUAAGGAUGGACUCGCGGCCUAUCAGCUAGUUGGUGAGGUAAUGGCCCACCAAGGCGACGAC